CCAGCAUCUGGUACAAGGAAGAAUGUGUGCUGGAAGUCUAUUGUCUGGUGCCAAGCAGUCCUGCUGAUCCCAACAUGCUCUCUCCAGUAUCAAAGAAACACAAGUGUGUGCACCUGGCUUUCUGGGGUUUGUCCUUAGCAGGAUGCCUCAUUUGGGUCAGCGGGCUGGAGUUUGCACAUCCAGUGACAGGCACGCCACCUGCAAAGCAACUGAGAAUGAACUGUCUGGUCUAGUCUUCACCCUGGCUGCAAGUCUCCUCACCUUUCAGAGGUGAGGAGAUGCUGAGCAAUCUGUAGAAUAUAAAACAUCCUCACAGAGCACUUGUGGGGGCUCUAUGGGGUUUGGGCCAUGGCUAAGCACAACAGAGGGGACUCUUUUAGUCAGGCUGACACCUGAGUUUGAAUAUCAGCCUAACCCCCCCGUGGCUGUGAUCAUGGGUAGUUAACUAAAGCUCCAAGUAGGGUGACCUUGAGGAACUCAUUUAACAGCCUUAACCUUAUGGGAAUCAGUGAUAAUCUGGUUUUUAUGUGGUCCUGACCUGUGGCAUAUGGGCAGUGUGGUUGAGUUCCUUUCCUGUACCAAGAUCUUUCCGGUCCAUACGGAUGACUGUGUAUGUUUUCUUUCUGUAAUUAUAGGCCAGCAGAGCUGACACAGUGGGAAGGAAUCUUGAGUCCUUCAUCCUAAUGCGGGAAAUAAGUUCUUUUGUCUUCAAGGAAACUUAGCCCAUUGCUCUUUCCCCAUCAGCUGAAUGAGGUCUAUGUGCUUUCUGUUCCUAAAGACCCCAUACUGGGUCUCCUAGCCCAAGGCUGGCUCCCCUUGGAGAGUGGGCAGUGCCAUGGGCUCCCCUUGGAGAGUGGGCAGUGCCCUGAGCCACUGCAUGGGUGUCCAUCAAACUACUUCCUGGCUCUCAUAGUCUCAGAUCCUAGGUCCCUGGUCUUCCCCCAUCUACUAGACUGUUGCUUACCUUCCUGAGACCUGCUAGUCACUCUCUCCUCCAACCCACAUAUUUGUGUUUUCCUGUUGAGGACUCUCUUACACGGCCUCUGGUGAUAGCUUUGCAGAUUGGGAUGGGGGGACUUUAGAGGGGAGGCCUUGUGUAUCCUUCUGAUAGAUGUGCCCAGACUGAAGGCCUGACUUGCUUGGCUUGCAUCAGGACCUACCUUCCCAGUCUUGUGGUUGAUCUAGCAUUCACCUGCAAGCUGAAGUCGGUAAAGGGGCUGAGUGCAGAGUCCUAGAGAAAAGACAUUGACACUGGGCAACUGCAGGAGUGAGGGAUAUUUUUUGUUUUGUUUGUCACAACAUAUUCUAUAAAGGAAAACCCAGCAGCUCUCUGGUUCAAGCAGUUACUUCUCCGAAUCUAUACAUGCCCAAGAUGGGGGUAAAAUAAAUAUACAUCUCCUUCCUGCCCAGUCCUUCUCUCAGCUAUCUCUAUAGCUUUUCCAAGUGAAAAUUUAUCUUCAGCAGGCCACACAUUUAUGCAUUUGUCUAUUUACUUACUUUGCAGUGCUAGGAACCCAGGACCUCAUGCAUGCUAGCCAAGCACUUUAGAGUGGAUCUCCUUCAGCUCCCUCCCACUGAUUGAAGGGCUGUUAGGAAAGCCAGAGAGGGUGGUGGAGAGAAUCUGGCUGCCUUCAGGAGUCCAUGUGGAUACCCAGGAGGUGGUAUGAAAGGGAUAAAGUUCCUAACUGUGUAAGGUGACUUUCAGUAAACUAAGGAUCCAGGAGGUGCAAUGGUCAGAAAGGCUUCUGAGAGGAAAAUGGGUCCACAGCUACACAAAUUUUCUCACUGGGAGGAAGUCAUCAGAAGUGCAACUUGAUGGGGAUGUAGCACCGGCCUGGGCACUCUGCAAAAGUCAUGCAUUUUGACAGGGGCUGGAGUGGCUUCGUUGCACAUUGUGGUGACUGCUCACCCCACAGAAAGAAAGUAGGUGCUCUUCUGGUGUCUGUCCUGUGGUAUGGUAGUGUUGACCUACAGAGAUACUGGCUUGAUAGGCCCAGGUUGAAUUUCACUCCUGCCUCAUCUCAUCUUCCAUUACAAAACCCCAAAGACCAUUGCCUGGAAGGAAGAUGCAAAUCAAUCCCAGAGGUAACCAUCAGUGAAGAAAGGGCUAUGAGCAAAGAGCUGUGAACUUGAGAGAAGCCAGAGUGAAAUAAGGGGUAAAAUGAGGAAUGUUUAUUGGGAGUGUGCCGUGCCGAAGCCAUGGCAAGGUACCUGUGAGGUUCCGGGUACCAUCUGACCCCUCUCUCACUGUGUGACACUGCCUCCUCUGGGCCUCAGUCCUUACAUCUGUAAGAUGAGAUCACUGGAUCUGAUCUCCAAGAUUAUCUACCUUUAAGAAGUUUGUAAUCUUUUGGCAAAUGGAGUUGUGGAAUUAAGUGCCAAGAGGCUGAAUUUUCAACCUGAAAAAAUUUCAACCUGCAGAAAGAGUUUGUCGUUCUCUUUAGAGAAAGCCCUGGAGCCCAGACGGGAACAUACAGUAAGCAAACCUUGCCUGGCAAUAUUCAAGGACAUUGAGAGAUCAAUGUAUCAGCAGACGUUUCUCAUUGGCCCUUAGAUUUAAAGGUCAGAUCUCAGGUCAGUGGCAUGAAUAUCCAUUACUGACCCUGAUGAGGGCUUGGGGAAAAACAGGCCACACUUCUCUGCAAGACAGUAUUUUUUUGCCAGAUCACACUCAAAAUAAAGGGAAUCAUCUGGUUUAAUUAGCUAAUUAAACCAGAAAUAUAUGCCUGACACAAGGCUCCAUUGGCUAGGUUGACUAGGCUCCAUUGAAUUGAGCCAAUCCAAUUUCUUCUUGCAAGAAUCAGCAGGAAGAGACUGAAAAACUUCUUCCCCCUGUUGAUAGCUCCUUAAGUCAAAGCCUGUGGCCAAGGUGGGCAGGACUCAGAUAAAGAAGCUGGAGAAGUGCACAAAGAGGGAAAACUGGGGAGAACUCAGGGAGAGAGGAUGAGAAGCUGGAGAAGUGCACAGAGAGGGAAAACUGGGGAGAACGCAGGGAGAGAGGAUGAAAGGUAACUGCUUGGAAAGCCUGCCUCCUCACUCUCCCCUUCUCAAUCACUGGAUGCCUUGCUGUGCCCGUCAUGGCUCCCUGGUCUCUGGGCCCUCAUUGUCAUCUCCUUUGCUUUAUGCCAGGUUAAGUGGGUUCCGAUAUUUAAUUAAAAGACCUUGGAGUGCAGAGAGGAAUUAAAUCCUCUAGCUGGCUAUCUCUUCUCCGCAAAAUUCCUUCUCUCUUUAAAUCCCAGAUGUCUCUUCCUUCACCUGGCCUAUAAAUCCUGUCUGCUAAAGUCUUAUUCUGAACUGCCUGCAAAAUAAUUUGGCCUUGAACCUUCCAUACCUCUAAAUAAUUUUCAAAGAACAAUAGCUAAGUUAUCAAUUAAGUAUUAGAAGAAAGUGAGGCUGGAGGUGUGAAGGAACUGCUCUGAGUUCCAUAGCAGGGAAGGAGCUGUCUGUCUAUCGGAGCUGUGAAUCUCAGGGCUAGGGAGUUUGGACUCAUCCCACAUCUUCAAAGGCCAGGUUGCACCUCCCAGUGAUGGGGGAUUCCUUCUGUAUAUAUGUUUCCCUUAAUGGUUGGUGAAUAAAACACUGUUUGACCAAUAGUCAGGAGAAGCAGGAAGAUAGGCGGGGCUAGGAGACGAGGAGAAUUCUGGGAAAGGUAGGCAGGGACUAUACCAUCAACCAACAGUUUAAUAAUUUAGUGCCUCUGUGUGUUCAUUUGGGACUGAAGCAGUGGUGGGACAAGAAUCUCCAGCAACAUUUCAGCGUCCACCACUCAGCCAGCUACCAGCAUCUAUGGGCGUAUCAUUCAUCCUUCCUGGUGUACUUGUAAUAAGGUUUCUUGUUUCCUUUCUUAGUUCUCAGAGGCAUCAGUGGAUGCUUCAGCUGAUUUUGUAUCAAGAACAGUGAUCCCGGAUCACCCCCACCAUCACCUCAUCAACCAAAGGAAAGGUUGGGCUCCAUAAAAAAACGUCUGCCUCUGCCUCUGCCUGCCUGCCUGCCUGCCUUCUCUACUUAAUAUAUCCACAAAAAUAGACACUGCAAAUGAUGGCCUAAAGGUGAAAUAAAUGUCUUAAGAUAACUUCCAGAAUUAGUUUUUAAAAAUUCACAUAUAAAGGGGUUGGAAGUAUAGCUCAGCAGUUAAGGGUACUUGUUGCUCUUUCAGAGGAUUGAAGUUCAGACACCUCCCCACUUAGUGAGGGGCUCAUAACUGCCUGUAACUCCAUCUCCAGGGGAUCCAACUUCCAUGGUCUCUAUGGGAACCCACACGUGUACCUUACAUGUGCACAGAUGCACAUACACAUAAAAAUAAAUUUGCAUACAAAAUAA